AAGAUCGCCCUAGCUUGCUAGAGCAUUAUAUCUUCAGUGGCGGACGGGUGAGUAACACGUGAGUUACCUGCCCCGGAGUGGGGGAUAGCCCAGCGAAAGCUGGAUUAAUACCGCAUGUGGCUCUCUUUUUUGAAAGAAUAGCCAAAGGUGCCCUCGGGUGCCGCUCCGGGAUGGGCUCGCGGCCUAUCAGCUUGUUGGUGGGGUAACGGCCUACCAAGGCUACGACGGGUAGCUGGUCUGAGAGGAUGAUCAGUCACACUGGAACUGAGACACGGUCCAGACACCUACGGGUGGCAGCAGUCGAGAAUCAUUCGCAAUGGGGGAAACCCUGACGGUGCGACGCCGCGUGGAGGACAUGAAGGCCCUAGGGUUGUAAACUCCUGUCAUCGGUGAGUAAGGCACGAUCGUUAACAGCGGUCGUGAUUGAUAGUAGCCGAAGAGGAAGAGACGGCUAACUCUGUGCCAGCAGCCGCGGUAAUACAGAGGUCUCAAGCGUUGUUCGGAAUCACUGGGCGUAAAGUGUGCGUAGGCGGUGAGGCAAGUCAGAUGUGAAAGCCCGGGGCUCAACCUCGGAACUGCAUCCGAUACUACCUCACUAGAGUAGUGGAGGGGAGUCUGGAAUUCUCGGUGUAGCAGUGAAAUGCGUAGAUAUUGAGAGGAACACUAGUGGCGAAGGCGAGACUCUGGACACUCACUGACGCUGAGGCACGAAGGCUAGGGUAGCGAAAGGGAUUAGAUACCCCUGUAGUCCUAGCAGUAAACGGUGCUCGCUUGGUGUGCGCGGAUUCGACCCCGUGCGUG
rnacentral:rRNA from 1 species